GCAUUUUUUAGAGUGUAUUUUCUAAUUGCAUCUUAUUGAUGUCAUUGUGGUCGGGCAACGUGCCAAUCACAUGAGAUCACAGCUAUAGCAAACCACCAAUCAGUUUGCAUGGGCAAAAUCAAGACCCUACAUUUGUUCUUGUUUGAGAAGCAGUUUCACUCGGAUAUACGCCACAAUACUAUCGCAACUUCUGUUUCAUGCCGACUUUAAAUCCCAAAUGAGUUGGAGGCACAUUCUAAUUCUGACUGACCGCAUGUAGGGCCAGAUUUACUAACAGCUUGCGUCAGCGCCCUCUUUUGGCAUUAAAAACUACGGUCAGGAUUUACUAAAGACACGCUGUGAAAAAUUUGUGCUUAAAAGGCAUUUUUGCAGCUGAUCUUAUUGCAUAUGCAUUUGCAGGAGUUUCCCUUUCAGACGCAAAAUUUAUGGGAGGAGAGUAUUUAAAUGAAUCAUGCAAGGUGAUUUACUAAGGUUUGCGCUAGUCAAUUUACUGGUGUUUGCGCCAUUAUUUGACGCCCCAAAAAAGCAUGUCUUAAACCAGAUGCUAAUUUGCGCUGCUCUUGGUAGAUUGUGUUGCUCAUUAUGGAAAUGAUCCGGCUGCGUCUGUGUUCUUUAAUUUGCGCAUCGCCAGUAGAUCAUGCGCAGAACUUUCCACUUGCAUCUGCACAUUUUUGCAAUUGCGCUCUCAUGCUAAUUUGCCCUGUUUAGUAAAUCUGGCCCAUAGUUGGUUGUGUUGUCAAUUAUUUUCACAAAUAUGUGGUUUUAGAUUUUAAAUAACCUUCGAAUAUGUCAUGGAAAUCCAUGGAUCCUCCAUUAGGUUUGAUUUUUGAGCAAUAUUGUUGGUCAGUUCACCCAAGAACUCUUGUCGUUGAGUGCAUGACGCAUGAUCUCUUGAUUGCAGCACAUGAAAGCCGGGUAAGCAUGUGUGUGAACCCCUUCAAAGGCCCUGUUUUCUUUGGCAAAGGUCUUUGAGUCGAGGUCAGACACCCCACAUCUCUAAUAGACUUCGACAUGGAAAACUACAGAGACUCUGUCACCCUCUUCAAAUGCUGACGUCUUGAAACAUGGCAGACAAGCAAUCUUUUCGCUUUCCAUCAAUAAAAACGUCCUAUUUUAACAGGCUGAGGCUGUAUGAGUCAUAGGACGAAGGAAAUGACCCGACAUCAUGUUCCGUAUUUAAUUUGGAUGUCCUCUCUGUUCCUUUCAGGAGACGGCUUGGCACAUUUAUGUAAGUCACUUUUUUGGCUAGAAGUAGAAGUCCAUUACUCUGGUGGAGUCACUUUAGAGCAAAACAACUUAUUUUGUUUGGAAGGUCGCAUUGAAAAUCAAACAUGCCUGAACUGAAGGAAAUUCAGCGGUAUAAAGGAUGCCAUUUUUACCCAGUAUUUAAUUUAGAGUUUAGUAAGGUAAGCAGCAGGUUGUGGGGUGUAAACCGGGAGAAAAACAGCAGCUCAGUACUCUGUGUUUUUUCCCAAAGAGUCAUUUUCCAGAAGCUCUGCAGACGGAGUUCUCUCCCCCUCUGAAGUGACAAAACAGGUGGUUCAAUCUCUAGGUAAACAAGUUAGCUGCAAAACCGUGUCCACUACAUUUGACUUGCUGCCAACGCAUCUCUUGCAAAUUUAAAUACUAAACAAUACAUGAAAAUACUCUUGCUAUGCUUACCCUAAUAUUAUCCUAGGUAGUUUUAGAAUUUUUAAAACACAAACAGAAUAUCCUCAUCAAUGCCCAGCACUGGAAUAGAGUUUGGCAUGGUGGGCAUGCUUGAUUUAUGGAGCAGGAAGUCACUUGGCAUGAACUGUAAACCUCUGCACGAGCCACCUGUGCAUUACGGCACAAUUACUAGCUUGCAUCUGUGUGACGUUUAGCACUAAGCAGAAAAACAGACUCCUUCUUACUGAAAGCUCCCUUGAAACAAACAGUGAACCUGCCAGUCACAUUAAAAAAAAAAUAAUGUGACAAAAAGUGGGGUUUCAAACAAAUCAGAGUUGACAUGCUAAUGCUGCUGAAACACCAAAUCAACAUGUUUGUUUUACUGCUGGGGUUUUAUUUCACAGGAAAUUUAAACUCAUCUCUCUGUAAACUUAUCUUGAUUUCUGUGGUAAACAAAGCCAAACUUUGUGCAGAAAAACAAGGAGGGGGAAGAGGAAAUUUCAUCCUUUGCUGAAAAGCAGUACAGGGACCUCUGAGUUAGACAAAAGACAGUCAAAAGAGAGUGACUGAGCAAAUAAGAUCCAUGAAACCUGAGUUAACAAUCACCUGACCUUUUCAAGUCGUCAGCCCAUCCCCCCACUGCUGUUUGUAAGUUAAACCGCACUGUUAUUACUGCCUAGCGGUCUCCUUUAUCCAUUGCAAAGAACCGAGCAACUGUCUGUGCAAGGAAAUGAAUUUCCCACUAUAUAAAAGCGUAUCACCUUGAAAAGACCUUAUCUGGGGCCGUGAAAAUAUGACUUGUUCGUUUAUAUUCCUAUCUGAUCCUUAAGAUGAUUGCAAACCACGAACCACUGAGUUAAAAUGAGGUUAAAACUAGAUUUGUGCUAAUCCACAUUCUUAACCUGAUUUGUUGCUCUUUUCAACUUCAUUAAAAAAACAAAAAGAAAACAAAAGUCUUCACUUUUCAGUUUGUUUUUUUGGGAUUCAACGAUCCAUAUGCAUUUGUAAAUAUAAACCACAUUUUCAUGAUUUGUUACAACGUUUUUUCUUUUUUCAAAUAAAUUUAGAUAAUUCAUAUGCUUCAGAUAACAUAAUAUUUUGAGUUUCUGUUGAUUAAAUCAAUCACCUUCAUUGUAUUAACUCAAAUUUUUAAUUUCGAUGAACUCAAAGUUUUAAGGCAACCAUUUAAGUUAAACCAACCAUUCUUUUUUAUAGUGCAUAAGACAAACACAUCUGAUUUGUAGGGGUUUCUUUCUUUACAAACAUACAAAAUUGUUAGGGAAAAAAAACAAACACAUUUACCCGUUUCUGUUUCACCCAAAGGCACAUAAAAUGAGUGUAUGUUUCAAUAUAAUCAAUAUUCAAUAUAAUGUUUUUUUUUCCCAUCUCUCUUGAAAAUCUUAUGCUGCACCAGGGGGGGAAAUAUUAUCCAUGCCGUACAUGGAAUCUUAAAAAUAACGGUUCUUUAUUGUCAUAUAGUUCCAUGAAGAACCUUUUAACAUCUUUGGAACCUUUCCAUCGCACAGAAGGUUCUUUAGAUUAUUAAAAUAUUCUUUACACUAUAAAAAAACAGUUCUUUUAAGAACUGUUCACUGAAAGGUUCUUUGGGAAACCAAAAAAGGCUUCGCUGCAAAAACUCCCUUUUGGAACCUUUAUUUUUAAGAGCAUAUUGUACCAUAUUCAGUUGAUAUGCUAUUUUUUUAACAGAAAAUUUAGCAGUAAAGUUUUAAGAAUUAAAAAAAAUAUAUAUAUAUUUUUUUUUACUUUUUUAACAAAACUACCAGCAGCUGUGGGCUGUCAGUUUGUCUUCACAUGAUUCUUGUUUGUCUACAGCAGCAACAUCUGCCUCGCUCGACAUGGUCUCAAACAGCUGGUGAAAAAUUGCCAUGGAAACACGCAUUCCUUUUGAUGGGAGUAAUUGUAAGGGGAGGGGUCUAUUGGGCUAAAUCUCUCUCCCCUCCCCCUCCAUCCCUGACUCUGUGUUCACCCCUCCUGCUGCAUAUGUGGCACACAAUACCUCAAUAUUGUGCUGCUCUGAGUGCUACAGUGCUCAAACUUUGAGUAAACAGGACAUUAAGAACAUUAGCUUGAGAAUAAUCUGUUCACAUUUAUUUUAAAAACACUUCAUAAUUAAUAAAUAAGCAACACAUAGAGUUUAUAUAAAACAACAGACACCUGUUUCACAGUGGAAGUUUUAUAGUGAGGAUGUAAGAAUGGGAAGAGGACUUACCUUCUGUCCGUCUAACAGAGAAGCCAGAGGAGAAGUCAGCUGCUGGAAGGGUCUGAAACUAUCUAACAGCAACACAAGUUCACACAGAAGACAUUUGCUGUGGGCAGGUCCGGUCAACCCCUUUCACUCAGUUAGGGUGGGACGUCCCACAGUUAACUCUCUGUAUCCAACUCACGUGGACCUUUAUACUCAAUGUAUACUUUUAACUAAGUUCAUGUUUGAACUUUACUGUAGGUAUGCGACCAUUAACUUUAUCAUCUCAUAGUGUUAAAUAUUACUUGGUAACACUUUAUUUAGACAUUCUGCUAACUAUGUGACUUUGCAACUACAUGUCAACUUGCAGUCAUUAGAGUUAGUAUUAGUAGACUUAAUAUGCCAACACUUUAUUUUGAUGGUAACUUUGUAACUACAACUUAUUCUAUUAACCCUAACCUAACAGUCUACUAAUGCUCUAAAAAGAGUUGUAGUUGCAAAGUUACUUAUAGUUAGUAGAGUGUCUGAAGUGGACCGUCGAAAUGAAGUGUUUUUCCAUUACCCAACACUAACAGGUGUGCAUCGCAGUAACUGUUUUUGCUAAAAAUAAUAUUUUUAGUGAACUUAACUGCUUCCAAUUUGAGGGAACAUAGACCAACAUAACAGGCCACCUCAUGAUUUGUGUCUGAUCUACAAAAAAUCUCACUUCCAGCUAGGAGUUAUUGAAUUAAGAUUCAUGUCUGAUCAUGUAGGUCAGUGUUGAAGCAGAGAAAGACUAAUGAGAAGCUGGAUUACAGUGCAAACUCGUUUGGGAUUGUCUGCUUGGAUGUGCCUUUUAUUCUUUUGUUAAAACUAAAACAAUUCCUCUCAUUCUAUUAUUAGAAUGAUUUCUGAAGGAUCAUGUGACACUGAAGACUGGAGUAAUGAUGCUGAAAAUUCAGCUUUGCCAUCACAAAAAUAUAUUAAAAUAGAAAGCAGUUAUUUUAAAUUGUAAUAAUAUUUCACAAUAUAUUAUAGUUUUUACUGUAUUUUUUUAAUCAAAUAAAUGCAGCUUUGGUUAACUUCUUUCAAAAACAUUAAAAAAUAUUAGGCUAGUUAUUCCAAAUUUUGGACUGCAUAUGUAAAUUUCCAUAAUUUCCUUAAAAGGCAUAUAUAUACAUAAAAAAAAAAAAUAGUGCUGUCAAAAUUAGUGCGUUUAAUUUUUUUUCAGUUUAAUGUUAAAAAUAUUUAACGCAGCAUCUGUUUUUUCCGUCAUAAUUUAGCUAGCAUUACAUUAAAUUAUCACACAAAUGCUUUUAAACCAUUCAAGCGCCGUUUUGUCGAGUAUCCUCAUAAGAGCAGUCUUAAAUUAGUUAAACGACAUCUUAAAUAAACUUAAAGAGUUGUGAGAAAAUGAGAUGCGCGUCAGAUCCGCGUCAUGAUCGGCAGCGGCAGCUCUUAAAGUGACAGUAGCCUAAUAAACCAGUUGCUGUGAUGUUUGUCAUUACUGUCAAUCAAAGAAUAAAGGUAACAGAGAACAUUGUAGAUUUAAUAAGGAUUAUAUUUAAUUUAUAAUUUAUGCAGUGAAGAAUGUAAAGUGUUUGAUAACUUUAUUCAGUUUCUGUAUAUUUCCUGUUAGCCAGGUAAAUAUGACAUUUAUUAUAAUGGGUUUAUGUGAAGAUUGUUUUAAAUUCACUUAAAUUAAAAGUUGUUUUUUUUUUUUUUAAAAAAGCCUAAUAAAUGUUGAAAUCGA